AGCAGCCGCGGUAAUUCCAGCUCCAAUAGCGUAUAUUAAAGUUGUUGCAGUUAAAAAGCUCGUAGUUGAAUUUUGGAUUCUACCAAUUGGUCCAUCUUUUAGAUGAGUACUGGUUGUGUGGGGUCUAUCCGCCUGGUGAUACGUAAUGUCCUUUAUUGGAUGUUGCGGGUAGUCAGGACCUUUACCUUGAAAAAAUUAGAGUGUUUAAAGCAGGCUUAUGCCGGAAUACAUUAGCAUGGAAUAAUAGAAUAGGACGAAGUUGUUUUAUUUUGUUGGUUUCUAGGACAACCGUAAUGAUUAAUAGGGAUAGUUGGGGGCAUUAGUAUUCAAUUGUCAGAGGUGAAAUUCUUGGAUUUAUUGAAGACUAACUACUGCGAAAGCAUUUGCCAAGGAUGUUUUCAUUAAUCAAGAACGAAAGUUAGGGGAUCGAAGACGAUCAGAUACCGUCGUAGUCUUAACCAUAAACUAUGCGACUAGGGAUCGGGCGAUGUUGUUUCCAUGACUCGCUCCGGNACCUUAU
rnacentral:rRNA from 1 species